GGUAGUAGUGGCAGGGAGCGUAGGGUGUAGUACACAUUCAGGAAAGUCCGCCCACCAUUGACGUGGGAAACCAUGUCUUUAUGGCCACCUCAAGAAUGAGGAAGGAGAAAUCCCUUGUCCAUGGCUCAGAAACGACACGUCCUAUGGAUUACGGAAUGAUGAGGAAACCAGGAAUGGCGAAGUUCUCUGAGAAGAGAAUGAGUUAACCCUUUGACAUCUCCAUAGGGAGCGAUGAAACGGCGAAUACUGGCCGGUGCAAGUCAUGAUGACGCAUAGUAGAAUGCUCCAGCAGACCAUCGAUAUCCAAUGGAUAUUUUGGGUCUGACAGAAGGCGGCUUAUGCCACUCUACC
rnacentral:RNase_P_RNA from 1 species